rnacentral:rRNA from 1 species
GGGUUGUGAGGUUAAGCGACUAAGCGUACACGGUGGAUGCCCUGGCAGUCAGAGGCGAUGAAGGACGUGCUAAUCUGCGAUAAGCGUCGGUAAGGUGAUAUGAACCGUUAUAACCGGCGAUUUCCGAAUGGGGAAACCCAGUGUGAUUCGUCACACUAUCAUUAACUGAAUCCAUAGGUUAAUGAGGCGAACCGGGGGAACUGAAACAUCUAAGUACCCCGAGGAAAAGAAAUCAACCGAGAUUCCCCCAGUAGCGGCGAGCGAACGGGGAGCAGCCCAGAGCCUGAAUCAGUGUGUGUGUUAGUGGAAGCGUCUGGAAAGGCGCGCGAUACAGGGUGACAGCCCCGUACACAAAAAUGCACAUGCUGUGAGCUCGAUGAGUAGGGCGGGACACGUGGUAUCCUGUCUGAAUAUGGGGGGACCAUCCUCCAAGGCUAAAUACUCCUGACUGACCGAUAGUGAACCAGUACCGUGAGGGAAAGGCGAAAAGAACCCCGGCGAGGGGAGUGAAAAAGAACCUGAAACCGUGUACGUACAAGCAGUGGGAGCCUCUUUAUGGGGUGACUGCGUACCUUUUGUAUAAUGGGUCAGCGACUUAUAUUCUGUAGCAAGGUUAACCGAAUAGGGGAGCCGAAGGGAAACCGAGUCUUAACUGGGCGUUAAGUUGCAGGGUAUAGACCCGAAACCCGGUGAUCUAGCCAUGGGCAGGUUGAAGGUUGGGUAACACUAACUGGAGGACCGAACCGACUAAUGUUGAAAAAUUAGCGGAUGACUUGUGGCUGGGGGUGAAAGGCCAAUCAAACCGGGAGAUAGCUGGUUCUCCCCGAAAGCUAUUUAGGUAGCGCCUCGUGAAUUCAUCUCCGGGGGUAGAGCACUGUUUCGGCAAGGGGGUCAUCCCGACUUACCAACCCGAUGCAAACUGCGAAUACCGGAGAAUGUUAUCACGGGAGACACACGGCGGGUGCUAACGUCCGUCGUGAAGAGGGAAACAACCCAGACCGCCAGCUAAGGUCCCAAAGUCAUGGUUAAGUGGGAAACGAUGUGGGAAGGCCCAGACAGCCAGGAUGUUGGCUUAGAAGCAGCCAUCAUUUAAAGAAAGCGUAAUAGCUCACUGGUCGAGUCGGCCUGCGCGGAAGAUGUAACGGGGCUAAACCAUGCACCGAAGCUGCGGCAGCGACACUUAUGUGUUGUUGGGUAGGGGAGCGUUCUGUAAGCCUGCGAAGGUGUGCUGUGAGGCAUGCUGGAGGUAUCAGAAGUGCGAAUGCUGACAUAAGUAACGAUAAAGCGGGUGAAAAGCCCGCUCGCCGGAAGACCAAGGGUUCCUGUCCAACGUUAAUCGGGGCAGGGUGAGUCGACCCCUAAGGCGAGGCCGAAAGGCGUAGUCGAUGGGAAACAGGUUAAUAUUCCUGUACUUGGUGUUACUGCGAAGGGGGGACGGAGAAGGCUAUGUUGGCCGGGCGACGGUUGUCCCGGUUUAAGCGUGUAGGCUGGUUUUCCAGGCAAAUCCGGAAAAUCAAGGCUGAGGCGUGAUGACGAGGCACUACGGUGCUGAAGCAACAAAUGCCCUGCUUCCAGGAAAAGCCUCUAAGCAUCAGGUAACAUCAAAUCGUACCCCAAACCGACACAGGUGGUCAGGUAGAGAAUACCAAGGCGCUUGAGAGAACUCGGGUGAAGGAACUAGGCAAAAUGGUGCCGUAACUUCGGGAGAAGGCACGCUGAUA